UUCUGCUAAAGUUCCCUCUUUCAUUGCCUCAGCCUCACAGGAAUGGAUUAUCAGCUGGAAUGGCAGAGUACAAAAAGCAGUGUCUGAGCAUAUCUGAUAAAGAAUGUUGCUCAAGAAAAACUGUAAACCAUCACUCCUGCGCAGGAACAGUAAAACAUCAUUUUAAUUAACAUGAGCGUGCAAGCUGAAGUCCAUAGGCUUAUGCCACUGACACUCAUCACAGGAUAAUUUAGUUUUUAGUAUUCAGGAUGCUCAGCUGUAUCAAAAUCAGAUUUUUCCUUUUUACCUGUCCUAGAACACUUAUGUUUACAAAAAUAUUAUUAAUUGUCACUGAAUAAAAAUGACUAUACCUA